rnacentral:misc_RNA from 1 species
CAGGAAUCGCAAGAUCCCCUGAAACCACCGUGAACCUACCGAAACGUUGCCUCGGCGGGCGCUGCGGGACGGCCCCCCGCGGCCCGUCCCGCGGCACCCCAGCCCGCCGGCGGCCCAACAUACUCUGUCUCUUCAGCGUUGGCAUCUCCGAGCAAAGAAAAAAUGAGUCA